AGCUGUGGCACCACCUGAUCCCAUUCCGAACUCAGAAGUGAAACACAGUAUCGCCGAUGGUAGUUUGGGGUCUCCCCAUGCGAGAGUAGGUCAUUUCCAGGC
rnacentral:rRNA from 1 species